ACACAUGCAAGUCGAGCGGGCAUAGCAAUAUGUCAGCGGCAGACGGGUGAGUAACGCGUGGGAACGUACCUUUUGGUUCGGAACAACACAGGGAAACUUGUGCUAAUACCGGAUAAGCCCUUACGGGGAAAGAUUUAUCGCCGAAAGAUCGGCCCGCGUCUGAUUAGCUAGUUGGUGAGGUAAUGGCUCACCAAGGCGACGAUCAGUAGCUGGUCUGAGAGGAUGAUCAGCCACAUUGGGACUGAGACACGGCCCAAACUCCUACGGGAGGCAGCAGUGGGGAAUAUUGGACAAUGGGCGCAAGCCUGAUCCAGCCAUGCCGCGUGAGUGAUGAAGGCCCUAGGGUUGUAAAGCUCUUUUGUGCGGGAAGAUAAUGACGGUACCGCAAGAAUAAGCCCCGGCUAACUUCGUGCCAGCAGCCGCGGUAAUACGAAGGGGGCUAGCGUUGCUCGGAAUCACUGGGCGUAAAGGGUGCGUAGGCGGGUCUUUAAGUCAGGGGUGAAAUCCUGGAGCUCAACUCCAGAACUGCCUUUGAUACUGAAGAUCUUGAGUUCGGGAGAGGUGAGUGGAACUGCGAGUGUAGAGGUGAAAUUCGUAGAUAUUCGCAAGACACCAGUGGCGAAGGCGGCUCACUGGCCCGAU
rnacentral:rRNA from 1 species